UUAAGCGACUAAGCGUACACGGUGGAUGCCCUGGCAGUCAGAGGCGAUGAAGGACGUGCUAAUCUGCGAUAAGCGUCGGUAAGGUGAUAUGAACCGUUAUAACCGGCGAUUUCCGAAUGGGGAAACCCAGUGUGAUUCGUCACACUAUCAUUAACUGAAUCCAUAGGUUAAUGAGGCGAACCGGGGGAACUGAAACAUCUAAGUACCCCGAGGAAAAGAAAUCAACCGAGAUUCCCCCAGUAGCGGCGAGCGAACGGGGAGCAGCCCAGAGCCUGAAUCAGUGUGUGUGUUAGUGGAAGCGUCUGGAAAGGCGUGCGAUACAGGGUGACAGCCCCGUACACAAAAUGCACAUGCUGUGAGCUCGAUGAGUAGGGCGGGACACGUGGUAUCCUGUCUGAAUAUGGGGGGACCAUCCUCCAAGGCUAAAUACUCCUGACUGACCGAUAGUGAACCAGUACCGUGAGGGAAAGGCGAAAAGAACCCCGGCGAGGGGAGUGAAAAAGAACCUGAAACCGUGUACGUACAAGCAGUGGGAGCACGCUUAGGCGUGUGACUGCGUACCUUUUGUAUAAUGGGUCAGCGACUUAUAUUCUGUAGCAAGGUUAACCGAAUAGGGGAGCCGAAGGGAAACCGAGUCUUAACUGGGCGUUAAGUUGCAGGGUAUAGACCCGAAACCCGGUGAUCUAGCCAUGGGCAGGUUGAAGGUUGGGUAACACUAACUGGAGGACCGAACCGACUAAUGUUGAAAAAUUAGCGGAUGACUUGUGGCUGGGGGUGAAAGGCCAAUCAAACCGGGAGAUAGCUGGUUCUCCCCGAAAGCUAUUUAGGUAGCGCCUCGUGAAUUCAUCUCCGGGGGUAGAGCACUGUUUCGGCAAGGGGGUCAUCCCGACUUACCAACCCGAUGCAAACUGCGAAUACCGGAGAAUGUUAUCACGGGAGACACACGGCGGGUGCUAACGUCCGUCGUGAAGAGGGAAACAACCCAGACCGCCAGCUAAGGUCCCAAAGUCAUGGUUAAGUGGGAAACGAUGUGGGAAGGCCCAGACAGCCAGGAUGUUGGCUUAGAAGCAGCCAUCAUUUAAAGAAAGCGUAAUAGCUCACUGGUCGAGUCGGCCUGCGCGGAAGAUGUAACGGGGCUAAACCAUGCACCGAAGCUGCGGCAGCGACGCUUAUGCGUUGUUGGGUAGGGGAGCGUUCUGUAAGCCUGCGAAGGUGUGCUGUGAGGCAUGCUGGAGGUAUCAGAAGUGCGAAUGCUGACAUAAGUAACGAUAAAGCGGGUGAAAAGCCCGCUCGCCGGAAGACCAAGGGUUCCUGUCCAACGUUAAUCGGGGCAGGGUGAGUCGACCCCUAAGGCGAGGCCGAAAGGCGUAGUCGAUGGGAAACAGGUUAAUAUUCCUGUACUUGGUGUUACUGCGAAGGGGGGACGGAGAAGGCUAUGUUGGCCGGGCGACGGUUGUCCCGGUUUAAGCGUGUAGGCUGGUUUUCCAGGCAAAUCCGGAAAAUCAAGGCUGAGGCGUGAUGACGAGGCACUACGGUGCUGAAGCAACAAAUGCCCUGCUUCCAGGAAAAGCCUCUAAGCAUCAGGUAACAUCAAAUCGUACCCCAAACCGACACAGGUGGUCAGGUAGAGAAUACCAAGGCGCUUGAGAGAACUCGGGUGAAGGAACUAGGCAAAAUGGUGCCGUAACUUCGGGAGAAGGCACGCUGAUAUGUAGGUGAAGUCCCUCGCGGAUGGAGCUGAAAUCAGUCGAAGAUACCAGCUGGCUGCAACUGUUUAUUAAAAACACAGCACUGUGCAAACACGAAAGUGGACGUAUACGGUGUGACGCCUGCCCGGUGCCGGAAGGUUAAUUGAUGGGGUUAGCGCAAGCGAAGCUCUUGAUCGAAGCCCCGGUAAACGGCGGCCGUAACUAUAACGGUCCUAAGGUAGCGAAAUUCCUUGUCGGGUAAGUUCCGACCUGCACGAAUGGCGUAAUGAUGGCCAGGCUGUCUCCACCCGAGACUCAGUGAAAUUGAACUCGCUGUGAAGAUGCAGUGUACCCGCGGCAAGACGGAAAGACCCCGUGAACCUUUACUAUAGCUUGACACUGAACAUUGAGCCUUGAUGUGUAGGAUAGGUGGGAGGCUUUGAAGUGUGGACGCCAGUCUGCAUGGAGCCGACCUUGAAAUACCACCCUUUAAUGUUUGAUGUUCUAACGUUGACCCGUGAUCCGGGUUGCGGACAGUGUCUGGUGGGUAGUUUGACUGGGGCGGUCUCCUCCUAAAGAGUAACGGAGGAGCACGAAGGUUGGCUAAUCCUGGUCGGACAUCAGGAGGUUAGUGCAAUGGCAUAAGCCAGCUUGACUGCGAGCGUGACGGCGCGAGCAGGUGCGAAAGCAGGUCAUAGUGAUCCGGUGGUUCUGAAUGGAAGGGCCAUCGCUCAACGGAUAAAAGGUACUCCGGGGAUAACAGGCUGAUACCGCCCAAGAGUUCAUAUCGACGGCGGUGUUUGGCACCUCGAUGUCGGCUCAUCACAUCCUGGGGCUGAAGUAGGUCCCAAGGGUAUGGCUGUUCGCCAUUUAAAGUGGUACGCGAGCUGGGUUUAGAACGUCGUGAGACAGUUCGGUCCCUAUCUGCCGUGGGCGCUGGAGAACUGAGGGGGGCUGCUCCUAGUACGAGAGGACCGGAGUGGACGCAUCACUGGUGUUCGGGUUGUCAUGCCAAUGGCACUGCCCGGUAGCUAAAUGCGGAAGAGAUAAGUGCUGAAAGCAUCUAAGCACGAAACUUGCCCCGAGAUGAGUUCUCCCUGACUCCUUGAGAGUCCUGAAGGAACGUUGAAGACGACGACGUUGAUAGGCCGGGUGUGUAAGCGCAGCGAUGCGUUGAGCUAACCGGUACUAAUGAACCGUGAGGCUUAACCU
rnacentral:rRNA from 1 species